rnacentral:lncRNA from 1 species
UUACACCAGGUCAUUGAUGCCUUCUAACACAAGCUGCAGGCUACUAAAAGUGUGGCCCAAGCAUAUACCUAACUAAUCAUAAUAUCAUAUGGUCUGCUAAGAUUAGUUAAUAUUGGGUAGAUUUAAUCAGAAUGGGCUUGUGGCCUUCAGGAUGGCUGUGACACCCCAAAUUCAGACACUCAUAUCUCGAAUUCGGUGCAUCAUGUGCUAAUUCUAAUAUCAUACUAAAAUCAUCAACAACGGAAUAAUAGAAUAAUUUACAUUGUUAUAACAUAAAUAUUCUUGUCCCAAGGUCUCGUGACCGAUACUACAACAUUCCAAUAAUUAAACUUAAAC